GUGUUGUAUGAAAGGAGAGCUAGUUAGCACUCCCCUAGACAAGGACGGAUUACAAACACACAUGGAUAAGGCACAUUAUCCAUCGUUUUUU